CAUACCUAAGUGGUGACUUUGGGCUUAAAAUUGUGUUAACAUUGUGAAUGUUGGUUUUGAAUGACUUUACUACCUGUGGAUCAUUAUCAAAGUGACUAAUCCUUCUUAAGAGUGGAGGAACAUCCUGUCUGUAUAAUCCUAGACUGAAACAGCAGCUGCUAAGCAUAUGCGUCAAGUUUUACUCAACAACAAUCUGAGAAUACUGUGAAACUGGAGAAAUGCCUUAAGCUCAUACAGCAACUUACAUGCAUUCUAAGGAAGAAGGUAAAACAAAAGAUGUUGUAUUUCCUGUACAUUAAAGUAUAAGUGGUGCCAAAGGAAUCCCCAGAACAGAAAGAGAAGGUAGAAUCUGUUAUUCCCAGAGAUCAUUCUUGAGAUCCACAGCUGAGCUACUGCAGCAUUAGCUGACCAGACAGCUCCUGACCAAGCCUCGGCUUCUAGCAGACAUUGAAUUAUCUCUCCUACUGAAGCAAUGUGAAUCAUAGCAAAGGACUCAUGGAGAAUGGAGAGCCAUGUAUCGUCAGCACAAUGAUAGCAUCUAGUUCAGCAUCUCACUUCUAAACUUCUCAGUGGUUUCCAUAACACUUUGAGUAGGAGGAAAGAAGAGGAGGCAAGGACUAGUCAUACAAUUAGGCAAAUGGCUGUCUACUAUUUACUACUUCCCUGCUACACGUUUUCCCACAAAUACAAGCUCAGUCUCUCCCUAUCUAUACUUGCUGAGGCUGUGGGCUAGUUUAGAAUAGAAUGUAAGCAGCAGAGCACUCAUCAGCUGAAGUCAGCUGAACAAUACACAACAUUGACACAGACAACUUGCUGUUAAUAUCAUCUAGUGAAACUCAUCAUUAGUAUCAUAAAAUAUUUUUAGUUCAAUGCCUGAAGCCACCUAAAAUGGGUGUUAAGAAAUUCAAAAGAAUUUAUUCUUAUGAAAGGUCCUAUCAUCCUUCUUUUCUAGAACCAGGAUAUUCAAGCCAGCUUGCAACAGUCAUAAAUUCUCACAAAUUGCUGACCCAACAGAGGGUUUUCAUCUAUGUGCAUGCGGAUGUCACAAAUAGCCAUUAUGCUCACUGAAACAAAGCUACAGAAAAAUCUGAAAACUUACCCAAAGUAAGUCUACAGUAGUCUAGAGCAAGCUGAAUGCUUAUGGCAUCAAUACUAUUUUAGUGGUGUCUGCAUGCACAAAUAUUUUAGUACAGUGUUUUCAGGAUAGUCCCACAAUAAAGGGUAGAGUCAAUGUGAUAUAUAUAUAUAGUAUAUAGAUAUAAAUAGCCAUCCACUUGAAUCUACUGAUCAACUUUUCUCACUAACAAGAGAAACUGCUUUUUAAAAGACUGUACACAGCUAGCCCAGCUCCCCAGGUGACCUGAAAGGAAUAAAAUUCUUGUGAUAGGUAAAGCAAGAAGGCUAGGAUAAAGCUACAUUAAACUGGGAGUAAAUGAAUACAUGAAAUUUGUUCCUACUCUGACCAAUGUUAUUAAUUUCCAAAUGACAUAAAAUGAGAAGGAAAGAUGAUUCUGUGCAUAUCCUUUUCAUCUAUACCCUUCUCACGGUUCCACAUCUCAGAAAGAAGAGACUGUUGUAUCACAAGUUUACUUCAUUCGUGUUCUCUUACAGGAGAUGGAAAGGAAAAGAACUGAUGGUUUGCAGGAAUGCAAAAUAAGGGCACUGGCUACGGCAAUGUCCAGAGAACACGUGGCUUGCAGAAGCUGGAUGGCUUCAUUCUCCCUUGGAAUAACGACACCCAGGAUCUGCCCAGCUCCAGAGCCAUCACUAAGGAUGUGCUAUAUAUAACACAGGAUAUAAGGAUAUAUAUAUGUAUAUAACACAGAUAUAACAAAGGAUGUGUUAGAUACAUGUUUUAAGGGUCAGGCAACUAGGGCAAGUGUAAUUUUACCACUGCAUGUCCUCCAUGAACAGGUGUUUCUCAAAUCAGAGAACAACCCAAGUUGGAAGUAUGGUCCACAGGGACCACUGAGACAAACUCCUGUCUCCACUCAGGACCACCCUGAAGCCCUCAUUCAAACCUUAUGUCUGAGAGCAUUGUCCAAACACCCCUUCAGCUCCGGCAGCUUGGGGCCAUGAUCACUCCCCUGGGGAGCUUUUUCCAUGCCCGUAGUCCUCUGGAGAAGAACCUUUUUCCAGUGCAGCUCCAUGAACUCAUCUGAGUCCGUUGUACAGCCCAAUUAUUCAGGCCUCUGGUUGGGUAGCAGAAUUAUGUUUGGCCAAUGAGGCUGCCAAAUACUUCAAAAAACAACUGGCUACUAGGCAUUAUGUUGGUCCUGGUGUCACACAGAUGGCACUUCUUGGUUAGUUUCAGGGAAAAAGUGUCAGAGCAGGGAUCUGAGAAGACUUGAAGUACAAUUUUACCUUAGUCCUACAGAUACAGGGUACUGCCAAAGGUGUGAAAUUCUUAAAUAGAAAUAUCAAGAAUAUUACAAAGAAUAAUCUACAGGUGUGAUAGUAUAAUUUAAAAGAUCCCACUGAACCCUGGCUUUCAGCUAUUACUCUGACAUGUACAUAUAAAGACUCUCAAUUUCCCCCAGUUUUUUCACCACUCAUAAUUUUCUAUACAUUACACAAUAAUUCCCAUUUAUACACUAAUUCUCUUUCUCCUUUCAUCUGUUAACCGUCAGGUUCCCAAAUGCCUACAGUACAUGUGUUGCCUCUGCCUUCAGUGUUUUUCCAUCCUCUUCCACUCCUUCAUUGCUCAUCUUCAUUCUCAAACAAAUCCAGGACAGGUAGCUGUGUGCAGCACUCAGAUUAGCUAGCCUAAGCACAGGAAUCCCUAAAAGAUAACCAUGCUUCCGCAUGUGCAUCUGUUUCAGUAGUUGUUCUUACAUGUCUCUGAAUGUAUUUAACAUAAUUAUAUGUGUUAUUGCACCAGGAUUCAUCAUUAUAGAACAGUCAAAAAAGUCUAUCCCACAGAGUGUGGAGAGGGGAUUUUGAGGAAUGCAUUGUAAUACUACCAGUACAUCAUCUGUUUUGCUCUAUUUCCCAUAGUAUGUUAUUUAAUUUAGCCUUGAUAAAGUACUGGGAGGCUUUAAACCAUGCUCUUAGUCAUGAAAAUGUUCACAAAGCAGAAAACAGAAAAUGUUUUCUGCAUGGAACAAAGGGAACAAAAGGCAAGAAUUAUACCUAAAAGUACCAGGCUACAGUGUGAACAGAUUUUAUUGGACAUUUGUAUAAAAUGUCAGAGCACUUCAUUCUGGAGUAAUUCUGUCCUUAUUGCUCAUUUUUCUUCCCCCUUCUACUUCAGAGCUUCUUUUUCAGUACUUUUUUUUUUUUUUUUUUUUUUUUUUUUUUUUUUUACUUUUGAAAUCUCUACUUCUUAAAGACCACUUUUGCAUCCGUGUUUUUUUUCUUUUCUUUUUUUCCCCAUGGUUUUAAAUCUACAUGUUCAGAAGUAAAUCCUGUGGCUCCUCCUGUUUCCCAGCUGUUUAGUGCUUCUCAUGCUACCUCCCUCUUGCCUGCUUAAAGAAAACACAGGGGGGAUGCUUAGGAACUGAGAAAAGGAAAAUAGUGAAUGGUUUAAAACACUGAGGAUCACAAUAGCCAGAAAAGUUGUGAGACAGAGGACAGAAUAGUUGAAGUUGAGGCAGCUUAUUUUUAGUCCUUCUUUUCCCAGCAGCUUGUUUGCUUCCUAUAACUGAGUCUGGAUUGCAGUAACAUCUCUACAAAGUAUUUCAGAACAGCCUAAUGUCCUAACAAGGAGUAUGUCCAGUUUUCCAUUUUCAAGAAGUUCAGGCACCCUGCAAGCAAAACUUGGCUCUGUAAAAAUCUCAGAAGCGGGCAAUUUUAACUAGCCUGAGAGAGAGGAGGUGAAUCCCGCAUAGCUGGGAAACAGAAGAUAUGAAGACACACAUGCUCACAGGUGGUCCAUGUGCUCAUGGAUUUCAUGAGGAGCAUCCCACUGGUUUCAGCAGGAGACAGAUUCCAACCCCUCGGCACAGUAAAACCACACAUUUCUUCCAUCAGUGGCAUGGAGCACUGGCAGGGACACAAACCCAGUUCCUGAGGUCAGUACAUCUGCUCUGUUAAGCUGAACAAAGCCAUUGGAAAAAGUCUUGUAUUUGUUCUCCCAUACAAUUAUCUUUCUUCUACCCAGUAAGGUAUAACAUGACUUCCCUUAUUGCUUCAUUUACUUCAGAUUCUGAGAAGACAACACUUGCUCAGCUUUGCAAAAGCCAUCUGGGAUCUUCAGAUAUAAGGACUGAAAUGUUACCUGUUUCAACCUGCAGGAAUAUUGCCACCAGGUUUGGGAAGGCCUGGAUUUCACCUAAAGCACUGCAAACAACAUGUUUACAUCUGCAUCUUAUUGAUCGCUUUUUGUUGGCCUGUUUGAAAAAAGUAACAGGAGAAUGGGGGGGGGAACCACACACACACAAAAAAAAAAAAAAAAAAGAAAGAAAAAGAGAAAAAAUAAAUGAAUUGCAGGGUGGAAGGAGUGGGAAAAGAGCUCGGUUGUGAGGGAGCCACAGCAAUACUACUAAAACAACUACUUUGUUUUAUAUUGGGUCUACUUCCAUGGCAUCUAACACCACAUGUAAAUGCUAAUACUCCCUGAAUGUUAUCACUUCAUGAAGGUUCAACAGCAAAGUGAUCUAAAAGACAGUGCUGUAAUGAAAUGCCAUGAGGUUAGGAACUGUCAGCACUCCAUCGCAAACCACCACAACACGCAAUGAACUGGGAAAUGAGCAAACUUUCUCCAAUAUAUACUAAGGUAGAAAGAAUAAAAGAUAUAUAAAUGAAUAUUCUGUUAUCUGCAGACAUCACUGUGGUGUUACAACACCAGACAAGAACACAGUGCGUCAGAAAUGACAAAUAAGGGAUCCCACUUUUCUGAUCCUUUUAUUGGGAAGAUGUAGUGAUUUCUGAAUCUCCACCCAGAUAAGGAAACUUCAGUCUAAAAAUUUUCUGUUCUAUGAAAUACUCAUAGUUAAAGGCACUUCCACCUUUAAAAAUACUGAAUUAAAUGCUUGCUCUGCAAAAUGCACCUACACUGUAUGCAAGGAUGUUGACCUCUCGCCAUCGCUUCCUAUGAGUUCACACAACGCAGCGGUGACACGGGGCCAUGGGGAAGCCCCCGCACUCUGCACGCACGUGUCACCUCCCGCACUCCUCCACCCCUGCACGGAGCAUCCCACACAGCUCCCGGCCUGGGCUGCUGGCGGGGCAGUCGCAGCUCAUGGUGGCAGCAGGAAGCGGCACAUCU
ensembl:lncRNA